rnacentral:rRNA from 1 species
AGAGUUUGAUCCUGGCUCAGAACGAACGCUGGCGGCGUGGAUACGACAUGCAAGUCGAGCGAGAUUUUUUCCUGUAGCAAUACAGGGAAAAGUCUAGCGGCGAACGGGUGCUUAACACGUGGGCAACCUGCCGAAAAGUGGGGGAUAGCUCGCCGAAAGGCGAAUUAAUACCGCAUGUGAUCAGAGUGGACAUCCAUUCAAAAUCAAAGUCGGGGCAACCUGACGCUUUUUGAGGGGCCCGCGGCCUAUCAGCUAGUUGGUGAGGUAACGGCCCACCAAGGCUUUGACGGGUAGCUGGUCUGAGAGGACGACCAGCCACACUGGGACUGAGACACGGCCCAGACACCUACGGGUGGCAGCAGUCGAGAAUUUUUCUCAAUGGGGGAAACCCUGAAGGAGCGACGCCGCGUGGAGGAUGAAGGUCUUCGGAUUGUAAACUCCCGUCAUUGGGGAACAAUGCUUACGCGUUAACUGCGCGUGAGUUGAUAGUACCCGAAGAGGAAGAGACGGCUAACUCUGUGCCAGCAGCCGCGGUAAUACAGAGGUCUCAAGCGUUGUUCGGAUUCAUUGGGCGUAAAGGGUGCGUAGGCGGCGCGGUAAGUCGGGUGUGAAAUCUCGGAGCUUAACUCCGAAACUGCAUUCGAUACUGCCGUGCUCGAGGACUGGAGAGGAGACUGGAAUUUACGGUGUAGCGGUGAAAUGCGUAGAUAUCGUAAGGAAGACCAGUGGCGAACGCGGGUCUCUGGACAGUUCCUGACGCUGAGGCACGAAAGCCAGGGAGCAAACGGGAUUAGAUACCCCGGUAGUCC